CAUUAAAAAGACGUUUUAAUUAUUAUUUUUAACUGCUGUUUUGUGCUGUUGUUUUCGGAUAUGUCUUUUAUAUUCGUGAUUAUUUAUUUUAAUGCCAGUUUUCAAUUAUUUGCUAAUAACAAUGCUAUUUAGUCUCUAUCACAUGUUGACUAUACCUGUGGAGGUCAACCAGAUAGUAGAGGAAGGGAAUAGACAAGUUAGAAUCAGUCCUCAUAUAUUUUUUUUAGAGAUUGAUUCUAAUUCGAUCACAGGACUUCUGGUUGGAAAGUCAAAGCAUUUCUACAUGAUGAAUCCAACUGAUUGUCCUAUUGCAAUAUAGAUUAACAUAAUGACAAUAUUGUAUAUUUGAAUUAAUUCUCACAUAAAAUAUGAGAACUAAAUGCUUGAACCUGAUUUUCUACAACUAUAGAUUUUCAAACACAUUUUCUGUCCCUU
rnacentral:lncRNA from 1 species